rnacentral:lncRNA from 1 species
CCAUCUUAAAAAAUAAAUAAAUAUGAAAAGAUAAAUUAAUCAGAUUUUCUUUCUUGGGCCUUUUAGGUGAGAAAUGUGGAACCGGGUAGAAGGAGACAAACACUAACAAGUGAGCCCCCACUCCGGGGGCAAGCCAGCUGCCGCAUCACGAGGACAUCCACGCAACCUAUAGAGCUGCUCAGGAGGAACUGAGGCCGGCUGCCAAUAACCAGCACCAACUUGCCUGCCGUGUGAGUGAGCCAUCUGGGAAACCAAGCCUCCAGCCUCCAUGAAGCCUGCAGGUAACGUCAGCCCUCCAGUCUUCCGGUCUUCCAGCUGAGGCCCCACACGUCGUGGAGCAGAGCCAAGCCAAUCCCGUCAUGCCCUGAAUUCCUGAUCCACAGAACUGCGAGAGAAUACAUGAAAAUUGUUUUAAGCCACUACGCUCUGAGAUAGUUUGUUAUGCAGCAGACAACAACUGAUGUAACAGUGGCAGGUGUACACGGAGUGCCAAGGGAAUGCAAAGAACGGACACUUAGGGGCUUGGAGUGGUGGCUCAUGCCUGUAAUCCCAGCACUUUAGGAGGCUGAGGCAUGAGAAUCACUUGAAACCAGGAGUUCAAGACCAGUUUGGGCAACAUACGAGACCCCUGUCUCUACAAAAAAAUUUUAAAAAUUAGCUGCCCACACUGGCACAUGCCUCUAGUCCCAGCUACUCUGGAGGCCGAGGCAGGAGGAUGGCUUGAGUCCAGGAAUUGGAGGCUGAAGUGAGCUAUGACUGCACCACUGCACUCCAGCCUGGGAGACAGAGUGAGACUGAGACCCUGUCUCAAAAAAUAUAUAUAUUAUAAAUACUUAAUUCUAAAUUUUAUGAUAUAAUUGUAUUGAGAGGAUAGGGGAAGGGAAAGAGUUUUGUGUGGGGGUGUAAAAGUUAAAUCCUCAUUUCCUGUUUUAAGAAAUCAUAGAUCGUAUCUAAAAUAGAAAAAUCAAGGAAUAGCUAUACAAGCAAGUUAUUUAGAAACUGGAGCUGGGCUCAUGCCUGUAAUCUCAGCACUUUGGGAGGCCGAGGCAGGAGGAUCACCUGCGGUCAGGAGUUCAAGGGUAGCCUGGCCAACAUGGUGAAACCCCAUCUCUACAGAAAAUACAAAAAUUAGCCGUGUGUGGUGGCACGCGCCUGUAGUCCCAGCUACUCAGGAGGCUGAGGCACGAGAAUCGCUUGAACCCAGGAGGCGGAAGUUGCAGUGAGCCAAGAUCAUGCCACUGCACUCCAGCCUAGGUGACAGAGCAAGACUCUGUCUAAAGAAAAAAAAAAAAAAAACAGAAAAGAAACCAAGAGGCAUAUACUGGAAGAAACAACUGAAGAAGUUGGUUGAAUCCAAGAAGCAGGUCAAGAGUAGAAAGAGCAGGGAUUGCUUUUCACCAUUGUUAACCUUUUAGUACAAUUUGACUCUUAAAAUUAUGUAUGUGUAUAACUUGACAAAAUAAAAACAAACUAAAAAAAGGUCAGAGAGAAGGAGCAAUAAAAUAGGAGAUUUAGGUGGAGCGAUGGAACAUGUUGUUCUUUGUAUUUUAUUUUAUUUAUUAUUAUUAUUAUUAUUAUUAUUAUUUUGAAACAGAGUUUCCCUCUUGUUGCCCAGGCUGGAGUGCAGGGGCGCGAGCUCAGCUCACCACAACCUCUGCCUCCUGGCUUCAAGCAAUUCUCCUGCCUCAGCUUCCCGAGUAGCUGGGAUUACAGCCAUGUGCCACCACGCCCAGAUAAUUUUGUAUUUUUAGUAGAGAUGGGGUUUCUCCAUGUUGGUCAGGCUAGUCUCGAACUCCCAACCUCAGGUGAUUCGCCUACCUUCACCUCAGGUGAUUCACCCUCCCAAAGUGCUGGGAUUACAGGCGUGAGCCACCACACCCAGCCUGUUCUUUGCAUUUUAAAUUAAGGGGCAGGGCACAUCAAACUAUUUAAUAUGUGCAAUGAACAAUAAAAUAUAUCCUUAGGAUUUAUAUGGGGCAAUUAUAGAGCAAAGAUACAGGAAGAGAUCGAUGUCAGGAGACAGUGUGAUGGAGAAACAAAGGACAGAAGGAAAGAGAGGGGAAGAGAUAGAAACAAAUGCCAAGACCCAGGAAAACACAGAAAGACAUAACCCAGCCUCAUAUAAACUCAAAGUGAGAAGGUGGAGAGACAUAAAGAAAUCCACAGGUGGCUGGGCGUGGUGGCUCACGCCUGUAAUCCCAGCACUUUAGGAGGCCGAGGCGGUGGAUCACCUGAGGUCAGGAGUUCGAGACCAGCCUCGCUAACAUGGAGAAACUCCGUCUCUACUAAAAAUACAAAAAGUAGGCGUAGUGGCACAUGCCUGUAAUCCCAGCUACUCCAGAGGCUGAGGCAGGAUAAUUGCUUGAACCCGGGAGGUGGAGGUUGCAGUGAGCUGAGAUUGGGUCACUGCACCGCAGCUUGGGCGACACAGCGAGACUCCAUCGCAAAAAAAGAAAAAAGAAAGAAAUCCAUGGGCUAUGGAAGUAUGUACGCUCACUCAGGCACACACCACCAAGCGUGAUGAAGACCCAAGUCUACAUAGAUAGCACCUCACACUUUUGUUAAAUAGCACAGAAUUAAAGAAUUAUCCCAGCCUGGACAACAUGGCAAAACCCUGUCUCUAUCAAAAGUACAAAAAUUAGCCAGGUGUGGUGGUGCGCGAUGUAGUCCCAGCUACUUGGGAGGCUGAGGUGGGAGGAUCUCCUGAACCCAGCAGGCUGAGGUUGCAGUGAGCCAUGAUCACACCACCGCACUCCAGCUUGGGCAACAGAGUGAGACCCUGUCUUACAAAAAAAAGAAAAAAAAAAAAAGAAAAGAAAGAAAAGGAAAGGAAAGGAAAAGAAAAGAAAAAAUGAUUGUUGAGGUAGGAGGCAAGACUCAACUCCAGAGGCAGGGCACGGACACCAGACCAAAUUGAGGACCAACUAAAAAUGGGUUGGGACAGAAGCAGCUUUCCAUAAAGACAUCCCUUCCAGAGUGCCAUGUCAGUUUACCGUUGCCAUGACAACACCCAGAAGUUAUCUCCCCUUUCCAUGGCAACCACCUACCGACCUGGAAGUUACCACCCUCAUCCUAGACAUUUCUGCAUAAGCCACCCCUUAAUUUGCAUAUAAUUAAAAAUGGGCAUAAAUGAGUUUAGGUCUGCCUCUCAGCUGCUAUUCUGGACACAGUGCCUAUGGGUCAUCCCUGCUCUGCAAGGAGCCGUACCUUUGCUGCGGCUGUGCACUGAAGCUUCAAUAAAAGUUGUAACACUGGCUGGACACGAGUGCUCAAACCUAUAAUCCCAGCACUUUGGGAGGUGGAGGUGGGCGGAUCACUUUAGCUCAGGAGUUCAAGACCAACCUGGGCAACAUGGUGAAACCUCGACUCUACAAAGUACAAAACAUAUUAGCCAGGCAUGGUGGUGUGUGCCUGUAGUCCCAGCUUCUCAGAAGACAGGGGUGAAGGAUUGCUUGAGCCCAGGAGGCAAAAGUUUCAGUGAGACUUGAUCAUGCCACUGCACUCCAGCCUGGGUGACAGAGUGAGACCCUACCUCCAAAAAAAAAAAAAAGUCUUGUUCUACCAGCUAAUUGGAUUGGCAGGGACCUCCUUUUUAAUAUAUAUAUAUAGGUAUGUGCCACCGCACCUGGCUAAUUUUUGUUUUUCUUUUUUUUUUUUUUUGAGAUGGAGUCUCGCUCUGUUGCCCAGGCUGGAGUGCAGUGGCGUGAUCUCGGCUCACUGCAAGUGGGUUCAUGCCAUUUUCCUGCCUCAGCCUCCCGAGUAGCUAGGACUACAGGCGCCUGCCACCAUGCCCGGCUAAUUUUUUUUUUUUUUUUUUUUUUUUGUAUUUUUGGUAGAGACAGGGUUUCAUGUGCUAGCCAGGAUGGUCUCGAUCUCCUGAUCUCGUGAUCCACUCACCUUGACCUCCCAAAGUGCUGGGAUUACAGGUGUGAGCCACCGGGCCUGGCCUAAUUUUUGUAUUUUUAGUAGAGAUGGGGUUUUGCCAUGUUGCCCAGGCUGGUCUUGAACUCCUGGGCUCAAGUGAUUCACCUGCCUCGGCCUCCCAAAGUGUUGGGAUUACAGGCGUGAGCCGCCACGCCAGGCCUCAUGAGUUUCUUAUGUAGCUGUAUCAAACUUGUUUCUCUUUUGAACUGUGAUUACAGUUCCAGUGUUCAUAUGUUGCCCUGCAAGUAGGUUAUAAGUGCAUGGGGGACAGGAACCAAGCCUUAUCUACUGAAGAAUCUUCCUCGGGCCCAGCUUCCAGGGAGGCUCUGAAUUUGAAGCCCCUCUCUGCCAUUCACUUGCUGUGUGACUUUGGGCAGGUUACUUGACCUCUCUGUGUGUCAGAGCUUUUAUCUUCAGAGAUACCACUGGGUUGAAUGACAUAAAAUUGCCAAUAUUCUAUUAUAUUUGACCCCAAAAUGGCAAUUUCAUAUAGUUCAACCUAAUAAAACCACUACCUCUUAGGUAUUUUGAGGGUUAAUUGUCAUGUCUAUUGUACCCCAGGCAAGCACCAUCCUGCUGAGUACAAAGUGGACCUGAUAGUAAAGCCCCUCAGACUUUGUGGAACAAAAGCAGAACCCUAGGAACGGCAGAGCAACCAGUUAGAAAGAGCCUGGCUCCUGAUGAACUGCAGCUUCCGUAUCUGUUAUGGAUUGCUAAUGUCUGGACCCUUAUAUGAGCAAGAUGUAAUCCCCCAUUUAGGUUAAACCACUGUUCUUUGGGUCUGGGUUUUUUGUUUGUUUGUUUUUUCUUUGAGACGGAGUCUCGCUCUGUCUCCUCAGCUGGAGCGCAGUGGCGUGAUCUUGGCUCACUGCAAUCUCCGCCUCCUAGGUUCAAGCGAUUCUCCUGCCUCAGCCUCCCCAAGUAGCUGGGACUAAAGGCGCCCACCACCACGCCCAGCUAAUUUUUGUGUUUUUAGUAGAGAUGAGGUUUCGCCAUGUUGACCAGGCUGGUCUCAAACUCCUGAACUCAAGUGAUCUGCCCCUCUUGGCCUCCCUAAGUGCUGGGAUUACAGGUGUGAGCAACCAUGCUCAGCCUGGGUCUGUUUUGAAAGAGGUAAACUGACAUCUUAAUUAAUAAUGGGUGUGUGUCAGAGAGAAAUAAACCAUGUACUUCCACAUAGAGAUUUCUGCCUUAAGGCCGGGCACAGUGGCUCACACCUGUAAUCCCAGCACUUUGGGAGGCCAAGGCGGAAGGAUUAUCUGAGGUCAGAAGUUCCAGACCAGCCUGUACAACAUGACGAAAC